AUUGAACGCUGGCGGCAGGCCUAACACAUGCAAGUCGAGCGAGCGGCGGACGGGUGAGUAAUUUAUGGGGACUGCCCGAUAGACGGGGAUAACUACUGGAAAAGGUAGCUAAUACCGCAUACUAUCGGAUAACCCAUAUGGGAUUAGCUAGUAGGUGGGGUAAAGGCGCACCUAGGCGACGAACUCUAGCUGGUCUCAGAGGAUGACCAGCCACACUGGGACUGGAACACGGCCCGAACUCAUAAGGAGGCAGCCGUGGGGAAUAUUCCACAAUGGGCGCAAGCGUAAUGCAGCCAUUCCGCGUGUAUGCAGAAAGCCUUAGGGUUGUAGAGUACUUUCAGCGAGGAGGCGUUACCCGCAGAAGUAGCACCGGCUAACUCCGUGCCAGCAGCCGCAGUAAUUC
rnacentral:rRNA from 1 species